GCCAGCAUGGCUGAGUGGUUAUGGUGUCAGACUUUAAGAUCCAGCCUCGGAUGCCAGCCUGUGUGGGUCCAAACCCCUCUCCUGGUG